ensembl:snRNA U6 U6 spliceosomal RNA
GCACUCACUUCAGCAGCACAUAUACUAAAAUUGGAAUGAAUGAUGCAGAGAAGCUUAGCAUGGCCCCUGCCCAAAGAUAACAUGUAAAUUUGUGAAGGAUUCCAUAUUUUU